CAAUAGCGUAUAUUAAAGUUGUUGCAGUUAAAAAGCUCGUAGUUGGAUUUCAGGAUGCGCGUUAUGAUUGAUACCGAAUGGUACAGUUGUGAAUGAUUGCAUUCUUCUUUCUUGAAGACGUGUUGUGCUCUUAAUUGGGUGUUUCUACGGAUUCAGGACAUUUACUUUGAAAAAAUUAGAGUGUUCAAAGCAGGCAUAUUUUUAUAAAUUCGCUUGAAUACAUUAGCAUGGGAUAAUAGAAUAGGACUUUGGUUCUAUUUUGUUGGUUUUCGAGGACUAAAGUAAUGAUUANUAGGGAUAGUUGGGGGCAUUAAUAUUUAAUAGUCAGAGGUGAAAUUCUUAGAUUUAUGAAAGAUUAACUUCUGCGAANGNAUUUGCNAAGGAUGUUUNCAUUA
rnacentral:rRNA from 1 species